UGCAGUUCUGGUCGCCCCGUUACAGGAAGGAUGUGAAGGCUUUGGAGAGGGCGGAGAAGAGGUUCACCGGGUUGCUGCCUGGAUUAAAGGUUCCAGGCUCAAUAACCGAGAUCGCUGCCCUAGUCUUGCCUGGAGGCAGUCCCUUGGGCUUGAGGAUGACUUGCUUCCAGUCCAGUGCUGUGGGUUCUGGAAUGGCUGGUGAGGCCCACCUAAAGGAGAAGCUGGUUGAUGGAGCAGAUGGUGUACAGGAUCUCAGGAGAGACUCCCGGUUUCUCCUCCCUGGGGUACAGAGCAGGAGGAAUGGGAGAAGACAGUCGACAGUGGAGGGAGAAGAGGGGAUGGGGAAUCAGUGUUACGAUG